rnacentral:lncRNA from 1 species
UUUGUGUUUUUUUUUUUUUUUUCGCUAUUAAGUUGUAUGAGCUCUUUAUAUAUUUUGGAUAUCUUCUCAAAUACAUGAUUUGCAAAUAUUUUCUCCCUUUCUGUAGUUUUCUUUUUCAUUUAUUGCUUGCUUGCUAUACUGAAGAUUUUUAGUUUGAUAUUGUCCCACUUAUUUAUUUUUGCUUUUGUUGCCCUUGCUUUUGGUGUCAAAUCCCAAAAAUCAUCAGCUUACUGACUAUGUUUCCUUCUAAGAGUUUAUGGUUUCAAGUCUUACAUUUAAGUCUCUAAUCCAUCUUAAUUUUUUGUGCAUGGUGUAAGAUAAUGGUCUGAUUUCAUUCUUUUGCAUGUUCUGUACAGUUUAAAUUAUCUUAAAGAACCCACCAUGAUUCCUUCAUUCAGUGUCUCUGUCACUUGAACACAGAAUUUUUAUUCACAAUUAUAUCUGCACCACCUAAAAUUGUUUUUGAAAUCCACUUAAAAGGAAAAAUGAUUAUUUAAUUAAAUUUUAUCAAUGAAAGAAACUCAUAUCUAUGUUUUUACACUUAUUCUUCCACCCCUACUUCCUAGGCAAGUUUGUUCAUGACCCCAGCUUUCUCCUUCCAACAGUGGAUGUGGCUAAAAUUUUAUAAAUAGAAUGCUACACUAUUGGGUCUGGUCACUAUUCCUUUUUAAGAGAAGGGAGAUGUAGGCUCAGUUGCAGACUAUGUUGCAGAGCAUACAAAUUUUGUGCCAGUUCUACCAGUUUAAGUCUGUGGUCAUGUCUCAGAACUUUUACAGUGCUUUAUCUUAAUGUCCAUCUCCAUUAAAGCAGGCCUAGCUUUUGAUUGGUCCAACUUCCACAAGGCUUUUCCAUUGGAAGCUGGGACAUAUCUACCAUUACUUUAUCUUCCUAAACCUACUCUAAGGAGUAGAGAUCUACAAACUAUUGGCCCAGAUGAUUAAAAAUACAAAUUUAGAAAAAUCUAAACAUUUUAUGGUCAAGUUAUGCCAACCUAUAUCCAUGUGGUAGAUUCUGGGUAUAUAAAGAUGAGUCAGAUCCAAAAUGACAUCCGCCUGGAUGGAACUUAAAAUGUAAAGCACAUAACUUAGAUUCAGGGUAUAGUUUAUACCAAAGAAGAAAAGAAUCAACAUUUCAUUUGAGUAGAGUUGGUGUCACUUGUCUCUUUUUCAAAGAGAUAACCACAGCAAUCUGAAAAAUUAUUUAUUUGGAUUGAUAAUUUGUCCUUCUCUUUCCUUCUAGUAUUCCAGAGCAAGUUAAUUACACAGUGAAACUGAAAUUUCAUGAACACAGAAAUAAUUUAUUCAACAGAAUGUAUUUAUUGAAUGUCUAGGCUAUGCCAGAUACUGUUUUAAGUGGUGGAGAUAUAAUCAUGAAUAAAAAUUCUGUUUCAAGUGACAGAGACACUGAAUGAAGGAAUCAUGGUGGGUGGUGUGGUGAAGUUUAUAAAGUAGAGAAAGGGAGUGCUAAGGGAUCAGGAGAGGGCUAUUUUAUAUAGGAUGGGUGUGAAAGACCUCUUUUACAUGGUUGCAUUUGAGCCAAGAACUAAAGAUGUAGAGAGAAAGCUAUGAUGAGGACAGAACAUCCUAGACAGGGAACAGGGAGGACAGGAGCCCUGAGGUGACAGUGUGCCUGGCCUGAUGGAGAUGAUUGUAAAACUCCAGUUCAUGCCCAUGGACCUGGGUGCGGGGGAGGUGGUAGGAAGUUGUCAAAUUAUAUGUAUAUUUUGAUGACAUUUGAAUAUAUGUUGUGAAUGAAAGACAGGAGUAAGAAUGGUUCCAUAUUUGAGUCUUAAACAAUGAAGAAUAUGGAAUUCUUGUUGUAGAUCAGUAGGUUAAGAACCUGACUAGUAUCUAUGAGGAUGUGGGUUCAAUCCCUGGCCUCACUCAGUGGAUUAAGGAUCCAGCGUUGCUAUAAGCUAUCAUGUACGUCACAGAUGACUCUCAUAUCCAGUGUCAGGAUGGCUGUGGCUUAGGCUGAUACCUGCAUAUCACAUUCAACCGCUGACCUGGAAACUUCCAUAUGCCAUGGGAACAGCUAUAAAAAGAAAACAAACAAGCAAACAAAGAACUGAAGAACAAAAAUAAUACCAUUUACAGCAACAUUGAUGGAGCUAGAGAUUAUCAUACUAAGAGAAGUCAGUCAGAAAGUGAAGGACAAAUACCCUAUGAUAUCACGUGUGGAAUCUAAAAUAUGGCACAAAUGAACCUAUCUAUGAAACAGAAACAGACUCCCAGACUGUUGAACAGACUCGUGGUUGCUGAAGCGGGGUCAAGGAGGGAUCGACUGGGAGUUUGGGGUUAGUGGAUACAGGCUAUUACAUAUGGAAGGGAUAAACAACAAGAUCCUAGACAGCACAGGGAACUAUAUUCAAUAUCCUGAGAUAUACCAUAAUGGAAAAGAAUAUAAAAAAGUAUGUAUAUGCGUGUAUAACUGAAUCACUUUGCUGUACAGUAGAAUUCACAACAUUUGUCUAAGUCAACUAUAUUUCAAUAAUAAAAAAUCCUGAAAGUGUGAACCUGUCAUUUACUUAGAGAAACCUCAUAAAAGAAGUUGAUUUGUUCAUCAUCCUCCAAAAAAGAAAAGAAAAAUCUCUAAACAGUAGCAUCACAAUUAGUACGAUGAAACAGAGGAAGAAAGAAUCUUGUCGUGUCUCCCAUCUCCCACUCCUUUGGGGUGUGUGUUCAUGGAGAGUAGUGACAGGCAGAGCUGCACACACUAUUUCUACCCUUGUUCUCUUUGUAGUUAUUAUGUGUGAUACAUGUGUGAAUGAAGCAACAUCUUACUAGAAUGACAGAGCUGGAAGUAGGAAAAAAUAUAACAAAGUGUACGGCGUGCACAGUACAAUUUCUAUAUAGAUCAUUUCUUGUUUGAUUACAUUUUAUACUUAUAAUGUUUUUCAUUUGGUGGUGGACUAGACAAAAACCCCUUGACAAUGUUGAAAUUUCCCCAAGCCCUCUGCUACUGGAAAAUAGCAGUGGUUAAGAAAUCACUCCACACUUCUGUGUUGUGGAGGUAGCUCACUGUGAAGAACUAGACUUCCCUGUAUGACUUAGAAAAGAUUUUCAGGUGUUUUUCCCCUGUCCACCUUCCUUGUUUACAAGGCCAGAGACAGACCUUCCAAAUUCUCAUUCUUUGUCUUAUUAAUGACUAGUAGGCUUUUUGCCCCCACCAUCCAAUCUGGGCAAAAUACUCAUUAACUUAACUUGAGGAUACUAAUCAGACCUCCCUUCCCAUAGACCCCAGGACACUGACUCAACCUUCAGCAAGCAUGAGAAAGGAGAACAGCACCUCCUUAAUGGUCCCUACUGAGAACUGGCUGACUUCAGAGAAAAACAUUCCUGAUGAGCUAUCCAAGGUCACCAUCUCCUUAACCCCCACUCCUGCAUCACAAACACACACACCCAGCUCUUUCUAACCUUGUUUGCUCUUCCCUACAACAGAUGAGUCUUUCCACCUGUCUUUUGGGAGGAUUUCAGAUCUUAUGAAGGGGGUCUUCUCUCUACAGCAGUAGUCCCCACUGCUGUUGUAAUCCUCUCCUUCCCCAAAUGGCAACAGCAGUUUUUGAAUCACAUCUCUCCUUGUCUAAGUCCAAUUUCUUUUCCACCUGACAACCUUUAUUAAUUAGUAGUUUUUUAUUGUCUGUUUGUAUAUUCCUCCAUUUAUAGAACAACUUUUUAUUCAGUCUGUCCUCUGUGGACAUUCUCAGGUAUAAAGCAGUGAACAAAACAGAGUUCCUUCUCUAUGGAGCUUACAUUCUAGUUUGGGGAGGCAGCUAAAUAAGUGAAAUAUUUAAUAAAUCAGAUGGUUCUUUGGGCUAUGGAGAAAGUGAAAUCUAGCAAGAGAGAGAUGUUUUGGGUUGAGAGGGUUACAUUCUUUAGUAAAGUGGUUGGGGGUGUAUUUAGGUUAUUUAUACUUUUUAGAGCUGAAAGUGAGGACAUUAUGUCUCUAAUUCUGAAGUCUAUAAAUGGUAAUCAUUGAGAUUUCUGAAUGCAAGUGACACUCAAAACUGAGUAAGGAAGGCCCCUGAUCAUUUGGAGAAAUUUAUUUAUGUUUGAUUAGUUUGUUUCAAAUCAAGUUCAUGGAAGUGGUGGAGUUAAGAUGUAUGAUUUCCAGACUAAAGUUCUGGAAGAUGUAGGGCUGUUUUCAAGCUGAUAUAUCCAGGACAAAUUCUUAUUCCCAAUACCUCAGGCUGGUGUUGGACUAGCAAUAAAAGCAGCUGUUAAUGGAUCAUCUCCACCCAGUUUUUCAUCAUUUUCUUUUUGAUUUUAUGACUCCUAAAAAAGACUCUGCUCUGGUCAAUCACCAACAACCCAAAAUAAAGAUCCUUUAUAUUUUUGGAAGUUAUGCAUCCUAGGAUUUUCUUGAGUCAAUUUUUUGAAGUCAAAGUUUUGCAGGGUUUUGACAGUGUUUUGUAGUAGCAUUGUAACUUACAUAAGUAAAACACUCCCUUUUAAAUGCUUUGUGUUAUGUGUUUGUCAGAUUCUGAGACCGUUUAUAAACAUUUUUAAAAAAAUGACACUGUGACUCAGUACAGGCUAAGUGCUUUUGUUUCAUAUAAGCAAAAUGGCUAAAAAUUUGAAGGCUCAGUAGUCAUACUUACGAAUUAAUUGAGAUUAUUUAUAAUCAGCACUUGGUAUUUCCUCAACAGACAGCUAUCUGAAAGCAGACAGUAUAAAUCAAAUGAAGACAUAAGGAUUGAUUAUGUCCAAGGUUCCCCAGACUGACACAAUGAAUCCCAAGGCAACAUUAACCAUUAUUUAUUUCUUUUAUAAAGCCCAAGAAAAUAGCCCAGGUGAAGCCUAGGUAUUUUUCCCCAUUAUAUCUGCCCCAACAUAUUCCAUCAGUAUCUAAUAAAUAUCUCAUAACUGGCUUUAAAAUUAUACUGCAGAGCUUUCAAAUGGGUAGCACUCAGAACAAAAUGGAUAAAUUGGAAAGCUUAUAUCAAAUCUAGUAGUUGAUCCUCUGGUACAAAUGCUUGGAGAUGCAGCCACUUCAACUCCCCAGAUACUUUUAAGGUAGCUAGCUAGUAUUUAAACUCACUCUGGCAUUAUUUCCCAGACCACUCAAGAAGCAAUAAUACAAGGUAAUCACUAAGUUAUUGCAUCUUGCUCCUCCCCCAAAUAAUAGUAAAUUAUGAAAACUGUUGAAAUUGUUCAAUAUUGUCCAGUUCAAGCUGUCCAUGAAUGAUGGUUAUGUGUGUUAAUGCCUAUCAAUAAACUAGAGCGUUAUAGGGUAGCUUUUUACUCUUGGUGCACUUGUAACCAAUAAGUAUAACACUUGAGCUUAACCUGAUAUGCUAAGGUAUUAAUAAUAGGGAGUGGCAGCAGGAAUAAUACUACUUUUAUUAUAAAAAGCGAAUUUCAAAUUAUGUUUUUGAUUUUCCUAUGUUAUUCACAUAAAAUUCAGAUUCAAACAUGGGGAACUUCUCAUUUUUUGUUUUGCUAUCUUCCUCUCUUUAGAAAUACACAUAAAUCAUCACAUUUUUCAACUUAGCUCACCACCCUUGUUGGAAUCUAUAUGGUUACUUAAGGAAGGCAGAUGUUAGUAUGUCAAUUGCUGAGCAGACGAGCAGGUUUUAAUUGGCUUAUUUGAUUCAGUAUCCAAAAGACUUAAAAAAAUUGUCGACUAUAACUUCAAGUAUUUCAAUUAUUUAGGCAAUCAAUGGGAUUAUCUUCUGGGCAAUUGACCAAUUGAACAGUUAUCAACCUGGAAAACAAUUAAAGCUUCAAGUGGUCAAAUAUUGACUGUGCAGCCAUGCCUUUAUUAGAGUAUGACUUGAAAUUAAAAUUGCACUAAAUCAUUCACUGGUUGAUGGAUUUCAUGGAGAUCUGAGCCCUCCACAUGGUUUCCCAAAGGUUAGGAUUAAGAGAGAGGAAUAUUGCUCAUAUUCACUAAUUCUAGAGACUAAUACACUGUCAAAGAUGUGGUAUGUGACACGGUUUGGAGCACAGUUAGCUGCAUCUAAAGUGAACUGCUUUUCUGUCAUUUUCAAAGAGAAUGGAUUUUACUAAAAGCAGAUGCUUGCAUUCCACCUGCUUUUGCUAAUUGCUGCAAUUUUCAGUGGUUUCUCACUGGAAUGGCUGUUGUUUGCAUUGCUGAUACAACCAGCUUGCCAUUGGAAAAUCUGCCAUAGCAGAUUAAACUCCUAGCAGUGCACACAUUUAUUUAUUCAUUCAGCAACAAUUAUUGAGGUCCUAUGCAGUGAGAAAACUGUGGUGGAUACUGGGGAUAAAAUUAUAAAGAAGACUCUAUCCUAAAGGAGAUUUCUGUAUAGUAUGACAUAUAAAUAAGUGAACAUUUACAGCCGAGUAUAACAAUUGCUAUUGGAAAUAUAAGGGUCAAGACAUAUGGGAGCUAAUUUCAAGGGCCACCCAACCAAUCUUAAUUAAGGAGGACUUCUCAGAAGAAGUUGUCUCUAAGCUGGCUGAUAAAAGGAAAAAAAAAAAAAUAGAAGUUAAUCAGUCAGAAGUGGGGAUAUGGAAGAGUGUUUUUUACCCUGAAAGCCCACUGUGUGCAAAGUUCCUUACUUGAGAGGGAGCACAGGCUUGUCUUAGAAAAAUUGCCCAUCAUGUCAAGAUCAUAGAGUUUGGGUCUAAAGAGUACCUGGGGCCACGUGACAAAGGGUGUUGUCAGAUAUAAAAAGCAUGUGGAACCUUAUG